rnacentral:lncRNA from 1 species
AAAAAUUAGGGAUAUAAAAAAAGAGUACACCCGGUGAGUCAAAAACCCAAAAGGGCGGCUCAGGCAAAAAUGGGUAUCCCGGUGGAUUGAAAACCCGAAAAGGGGGCGAUCCAGGCAAAAGUUAGGGAAUAAGCGAAUGACUGUGAUCUGAGUUCAUCAGUGUUAUAUCACCGUUUCAUUCAAUCCGGCAAUCUUCGAAGGUUAAAG